rnacentral:rRNA from 1 species
CCUACGGGAGGCAGCAGUGGGGAAUAUUGCACAAUGGGGGAAACCCUGAUGCAGCGACGCCGCGUGAGUGAAGAAGUAUUUCGGUAUGUAAAGCUCUAUCAGCAGGGAAGAAAAUGACGGUACCUGAUUAAGAAGCCCCGGCCAACUACGUGCCAGCAGCCGCGGUAAUACGUAGGGGGCAAGCGUUAUCCGGAUUUACUGGGUGUAAAGGGAGCGUAGACGGCAGCACAAGUCUGGAGUGAAAUGCCGGGGCUUAACCCCGGAGCUGCUUUGGAAACUGUGCAGCUGGAGUGCAGGAGAGGUAAGUGGAAUUCCUAGUGUAGCGGUGAAAUGCGUAGAUAUUAGGAGGAACACCAGUGGCGAAGGCGGCUUACUGGACUGUAACUGACGUUGAGGCUCGAAAGCGUGGGGAGCAAACAGGAUUAGAUACCCUGGUAGUC